UUUGUCCUCAGCCAUCGAGUCAGGGCAAAGCUUCCUGGAUCUGUCUCUGGGCUCUGUUACCAGACGGUGGCACGAGUCCCGUUUCCCAAAGCCUGUUCGCUUUACACGCUUUAUGUCAAGUGUCCCCGUAUGAGGAAUGGUUCCCUCGCCUGUUUUAUCACUUCAGUGUCUUACGUGGAAUAGAGGUAACUUCUUCUGCACGUCCCUAUAUGUGUAUUUCAUCUUCUCGUUUCAUUUGUUUUUAGAUUUUUGUCAGUAACACUCGACUUGCACUGAAAUAAGGUGAAAACCAUAGUUUCACGUUUAUUCUUCUCUAUUUUCAGAAGAUCUUAAUUUGGCAGGAACAGCGUGAGCAUACUAAGGGCACGAGAAGAUCUUGUCGCAAUGAGCGAUGAACCUUGACAGCGGCUCCUUAGGACAUCACCUUCUGAAACUGACUUCACCCUUCACCCUUCCUGACCUCCAGGGUUGUCAGUGUGGGUGGCACUGGGCCGGAAGACCCUUAAGAUGGCAUACGAGGCGGAAGGGAGAAAUGAUGCCAGUUCUACACAGGCAUUCAGAAGGGGGUCUUUUCCCGCAGCCUCUGAAGAGACAGGUGCAAAGACCCCAGGAGUUGAGACGACAUCGGAACUGUUGGGAGUGGUCAUGCCUUGACACUUCUGCUGCUCUUGGACUCGGCAAGCACUGCAAGACUUCUCUAUGGGAUCCCAGGCAAGUGAACGCCCUUCAGCUGAAAAAUGGGGCAGGAGAAUUGGGCUCAACUUCCUUCUUGCCUCAUGACCUUUGCCGUGUCAUUGUAUGGCUUUCUAUUUAUAAAAAGGUAAUUCACG
ensembl:lncRNA